AAUUCAAGUGUUUCUACAGAUGGGUUGAGGAAUUCAUUUACUCACUGUAAGCAAAAUAACUGCUCUUGGUUGAAGCACUGAAUCCAAUCAGAUGAAGAGUGUCAAAAGGAGUCUACGAAUGAGACACCAAGAUGGCAGUUCCACUGUUGAUUGAGAGGUUGAGGAAAUGGACUAAUGCAUGAGUGCUGUGAUAUGUCUGUCCAAGCAAAGGAUGUUAAAACGUGGACUCUCGUGUUAUUAAACCAGAGAAGAUCUGGGUUGUGAUCAUCCUAUCAAAAUGGACUUUGCACUUGAAUUAAUCAGGGGACUGUAUCAGUGACUAUCCAAUGAUGGAUCUGUUUGAGGACUGGGUGGCAAAAUUUUACUCUUGGCUUGUGUAUGCAUAACAGGCAAAUUCAUUUGGUAAGAGAUCUGUUGCUACCACUUUGGAGAAAAUGUAAUGUUUUUUUUUUUUAAGUGAUUUAAUAAAAGGUUUUGGUUUCUUUCACA